GACCUCUCCUCCGAUCUUUCUCCAGCCGACGGUAGAACUGACAGGGGCUUUGGAGACAAUCUCCCACUUCCCUGCUGAGAUCGAAGGCCCAGAAGUGUGCACUGAAUCACCCCGAGGCACCGGGCAGUUACAGAAGCCUGGGCCAGUGCUGUCCAGAUAAAUAUGUUUUCCUGACUUCUUUGAAUCUAUAUCUGGUGGAUGAGAUGUAGUGAAAAUGUUUUGUGAGAAUUCCAGUAAAGCUGCAUAAAAUGCGGGCGGAGUCCCCUUCAUAACCUCCCUGUGAAAUGGUCAUCCAGCCGCUGGAAAAGCACUCUGGAACCUACUCACCGAACGAAAUUGAACAAGUGGGAGUCGUGACUCACCGCCUUCCAAGCACACGAUUCAGUUCACGGAUCUAGAAAACGGUAGCUAGGUA